GGGGGGGGGGGGGGGGGGGCCGAAGGCAGGGGGGGCGGGCGGCGGCGCAGUGGGGGGAGGGUGUGGCGGGGGGCGAGUGGCGGACGGGUGAGGAAUACAUCUGAAUCUACUUUUUCGUUGGGGGUCACGUCGGGAGGCUUACGCUAAUACCGCAUCCUCCGUCCGGGUGACAUCAGGGGCGCUUCGGCACUUGCGCGGUUGCCUGCGCCGAUGUCGGACUAGCGAGUUGGCGGGGUACAGGCCCGACAAGGCGACGAUCCGUAGCUGGUCUGAGAGGAUGAUCAGCCACACUGGAACUGAGACACGGUCCAGACGCCUACGGGAGGCAGCAGUGGGGAAUAUUGGACAAUGGGCGCAAGCCUGAUCCAGCCAUACCGCGUGGGUGAAGAAGGCCUUCGGGUUGUAAAGCCCUUUUGUUGGGAAAGAAAAGCAGCAGGUUAAUACCCCGCUGUUCUGACGGUACCCAAAGAAUAAGCACCGGCUAACUUCGUG
rnacentral:rRNA from 1 species